rnacentral:rRNA from 1 species
GUGGGGAAUAUUGCGCAAUGGGGGAAACCCUGACGCAGCGACGCCGCGUGAGUGAUGAAGGCUUUCGGGUCGUAAAGCUCUGUUAUAAGGGACGAAGAACUGCAGGAAUAAUACGCCUGCAGCGUGACGGUACCUUAGGAGGAAGCCCCGGCUAACUACGUGCCAGCAGCCGCGGUAAGACGUAGGGGGCGAGCGUUGUCCGGAAUUACUGGGCGUAAAGAGCACGUAGGUGGACCAUUAAGUCAGGUGUGAAAGACCGGGGCUCAACUCCGGGGUUGCACUUGAAACUGGUGGUCUUGAGGGCAGGAGAGGAAAGUAGAAUUCCUGGUGUAGCGGUGAAAUGCGUAGAAAUCAGGAGGAAUACCAGUGGCGAAGGCGGCUUUCUGGACUGUCCCUGACACUGAGGUGCGAAAGCGUGGGGAGCAAACAGGAUUAGAUACCCGAGUAGUCC